GCUGUGUCAGUUCAAAUGACUUCCCAAACAGCCUCUGGAACGCCAACUGUAAAAGAUGGAUUUAUUUGCUCAGUCUCCUUCCUGAAGCAUGUAUCUUAGAUGGUGUAGCUCUCUGUAUCCGACAAAAUGGCGCAUAAUCAUCUGUGAAAAUUGGAGAGUGUGCUCCUCUUACUUAUAAAAAAAAUAGUGAACUGUAAAACAGCCUCAGGCAUGUCCUUCAGGAGGAUUCCAGAAUAAGGCAUUGUUAUCAUAGGAGAUGACAGUUCCAUGCAUGUUAUUGCCCCUGAAGACUUUCCAGUGGGACAAGAUGUGGAGAUGAAGACAGUGAUACUGAUGGUCCUGACCCUGUGUAGGCCUUGGGUCUGCAUGCUUCUCAAAUUGAGCUGUAACACUCACUGCUGCGGUCCAAGCCUUCAUUCUUUGAAGCCCGUGGAACCACAAACUCUUCAAUUGAUAAAAACCUUCGAUCGGAAGAGACUUCUCAUCUCAUUUCUGGGGGCCUGUCCGGGAUUUCUCUGAAGUGAAUAGAAUCCAUGAAACUGCAAGUGGUUCUACAAAUGGAGCCCCAAAUGACCACCACUAGCACCUACUAUCGAGGACCCCUAGACUGACCUACCAACCUGUUCUAACACCACGACACUGAAGAAGACUCCCCUCCUGAGGAACCCUCAACUGCAGAUCCCCUUCUGUGCCCCAGUUCAGCAGGAAGUAGCUAGAAUGAUCAUUGCCCAACUUCUCAACAGCACUUGGGCUUUCCUGUUGAGAGGGGGUACUGAGGCACUAAGUGGCUAAGUUAGCUAGACUUCCUGGGUCAACAGGGACUUCCCUAAGGGGACAUUCCUCUAAGCCAAAAUGAGUCAUAGCUGCAAGCUAAGGGAUUGAAACUUCAACCAAUCAAAGGGGACUUUCUCCUAAGCAAAAAUGAGUCACUGCUGCAAACUAAGUGAUUGAAACUUCACCCAAUCAUAUAGGGAGUUUAAGCUUUAGCUGCAGCCUGAUGUUUUUAACCAAUCAGGCCUGCCAACCCACAAGCAGAUAGAAAAUAAGCUAAUCCUAUGGGACAGAAAAAGGAAAAGGGGAGGAGUCAUAAGAGGAUAUAAGCAUAAGACACCCAAGCCAGAAACGGAAACCCUUCCGGGUCUCCUUCCACCACGUGGAAGCUUUACUUUUGCUUUUACUUUACUUUCACUUUAAUAAACCUUGGCGCUGCACACUCUUUGGGUCUGUACGUUUCUCUAAUUGAGCUGUAACACUCGCCGCUGUGGUCCACGGCUUCAUUCCUUGAAGCCUGUGAGACCACGAACCCUUCAAUUGAGAAAAACCUUCAAUCAGAAGAAGACUUCUUGUCUCAAUAUCACUUCCUUCGAAAACAUAAUUCAAG
rnacentral:lncRNA from 1 species